AAACAGAUUGAUCGGUCUGGUUCACGGUCCCUGGCCACGUCUAACCACGAGAGUCCCCUUCACCCUUUCCCUCUUCACCCGACGAACCCAUCUCCUUCCAUUUGUCAUCCCCAUCGAGCACCCCAGUCUCCUCAACUAGUUCACAGAGCCAGCUCCCCAUCUCCCGAAUCAUUCACGAUACGCUGCCGGCACCCUCUUCUUCCUCCACUGACGAAACCUGCUCUGUCUCUCAUCGCCCUCACCUUCUUCGUUUCUUCAACAGACCCGUAUCCUCUCUCCGGAACCCAUACCAUUUUCCUGGACAGAACCCAACUUCUCCACGAUCGGCGGCUUUCCAUUCCUAAAAUCGACUGCUACCAGCUCAUUUUUCCUUCUCCUGCUCGUACCAUCGAAGCCACCAGCGGGUGUAGCAGCGAGACCCACGCCCUUCUCCUUCUUCCCCAUCAUUUCCUCUCCCCCAUCUCUGCCAGCAUCGCCGCCCUUAGAUCUCCCAGCAAAACCAAAUCCCAAGCCGCACCCAGCUGAUCCCUCGAGUUCGUGUCCCAGCAGCCGGGGGUCACCAGCGAUCUCAAUAAGACCUCGAGCAUUACCAGUGAAUCAACCACCAUCAGGAUCGAGCACUGUAGCACCAUUUCCGUCAGCGAUAGCGUCUCCCCUCUCACUUCACAGAUGCACAUCGCGCCAGACCAACGAAGCUGGACUGUAGUUCAACACCUGAGCUAAAGAUUCUUCAUUCACCGGAUUCACAAUCGGAUUUCUUGCGCCGGAGACUUUGAGAGACUGAUGGAAAAAGAAUCAAUUUCCAAGGGAGAAGAAGAUAUUGGCUACAAUAGCAGCAAUGUUAAGAAAGCAAAACUGCAGUCAACUCUUGCAGCUCUACUUGAUGAUCCUAUACUCGCCGAUGUACCUAGGAAACCCACCUUAACCGAUGUUGAUACUCUCAUUAGUCUUGAAUUGGGCAGUGCUAUGCGCAUCUCCGUCCUUAAACUAGAUGGCACCUCAUUUGAUGUGGCGAUGAUGAAUUCGGCGACAGUCAAAGAUUUGAAGCUUGCAAUAAAGAAGAAAGUGAUUGAAAUGGAGCAAUCCAAGAUGGGUCAUCGCCAUAUUUCAUGGAAGCAUGUAUGGGAAAAUUUUGCAAUAUCCUGCAAUAAUCAAAAGCUCCUUGAUGACAACUCUGCACUUCAUGAUUUCGGCGUCCGCAAUAAUUCUCAGGUUAAUUUUGUCCCCUAUGUCAUGUCAAAGGGUUUUGGAAAGCAUUCGAAGAGGAGAAAACACCGCUUUUUUCAUGGGCUUAACAACAUUGGCCAGUGAUGAUAUUAUUUCUCCUAAUGAUGCUACAGCCAUAGAAUGAACUCCCACAGAGUCUUUGCUGACGAAUUUCUGAGGAUUCUGGGAGACGAUGGUUCGGCUGCACUUUGCACAGUUUUGGGUACAGGUUCAUCAACUUCCUUUUGGAUCUGUUAAUGUCGUUACUACUAAGCAAUUGGGGGAUUUUAUAGGGUCUGUUAUCUCAUAUGAAAAUAUUGUUACUAUGGGGCGUUGGAGAAGCUAUAUGCAAAUUUGGGUUGUAAUUGAUGUCUGAUCCUCUAAAGGCAUUUGAAAAAAUUCCAAACCUAUAGAGGAACAUAUUUUAUAGUGGAUUUUAGGUAUGAAAGGCUGCCAACAAUUUUAUUUUCUUUAUGGACGAAAAAUUAUGUCCAUCUUUAUUUGAUAUGAAUAUUGUGUCAACAAUAAAAUAUUAAAGGGUAUUUGGUUUAGAGCGAA